rnacentral:rRNA from 1 species
AGCGGCGGACGGGUGAGUAAUGCUUAGGAAUCUGCCUAUUAGUGGGGGACAACAUUUCGAAAGGAAUGCUAAUACCGCAUACGUCCUACGGGAGAAAGCAGGGGAUCUUCGGACCUUGCGCUAAUAGAUGAGCCUAAGUCGGAUUAGCUAGUUGGUGGGGUAAAGGCCUACCAAGGCGACGAUCUGUAGCGGGUCUGAGAGGAUGAUCCGCCACACUGGGACUGAGACACGGCCCAGACUCCUACGGGAGGCAGCAGUGGGGAAUAUUGGACAAUGGGCGCAAGCCUGAUCCAGCCAUGCCGCGUGUGUGAAGAAGGCCUUAUGGUUGUAAAGCACUUUAAGCGAGGAGGAGGCUACUUUAGUUAAUACCUAGAGAUAGUGGACGUUACUCGCAGAAUAAGCACCGGCUAACUCUGUGCCAGCAGCCGCGGUAAUACAGAGGGUGCAAGCGUUAAUCGGAUUUACUGGGCGUAAAGCGCGCGUAGGCGGCUAAUUAAGUCAAAUGUGAAAUCCCCGAGCUUAACUUGGGAAUUGCAUUCGAUACUGGUUAGCUAGAGUGUGGGAGAGGAUGGUAGAAUUCCAGGUGUAGCGGUGAAAUGCGUAGAGAUCUGGAGGAAUACCGAUGGCGAAGGCAGCCAUCUGGCCUAACACUGACGCUGAGGUGCGAAAGCAUGGGGAGCAAACAGGAUUAGAUACCCUGGUAGUCCAUGCCGUAAACGAUGUCUACUAGCCGUU